UAGGAAAAACAAACAAACAAACAAACAAACAAAAACAGGAAACAAAGUCACCAUGGGAUAGGAAAAGAACCAGGUGGGCUAAGAGAAGGCGCUCUGAGGAUCAGCAUGAAGAGAAGCAGCCCGAAUGGAAAGCAUGUGCAGAUCACAAGUCACAUUCACCUUCAAUCUGUGUGGUACCCAGUGCUCAUUAUCUGCUUCUAGAUCUCACCUAUUGCUCCAGUGCCGUGCCUGCCUUCCUGCUGCGGUACCUCCCUCCAUGAGGGUCAUGGACCCACCCUCUGAAACCGAAAUGUGGACACUGGCAUGGAUCUUUGGAGUUACUGAGGUGUAAGAAAUUCUGACAAAAUAAAUCGGGGGAGUCAAGGGAACUACAUCCACAGCCUCUCUGCUAGCUGGCUUCGAACGAAUGACUCAACCCAGCUCAGGCCUCUUGGAUCCUGACACUUAGUGCAUGUUCUCGGCGUAUCUAACACACGUGGCGUCCCCACUUUGAGGAGUGUUCUACACCUCCGUUUUGAAUCAAGCCUCCUGGUCUUCCUGCUUCAGCAUCUCAAAUUCUGGGAAUGCAUUGUGUACUACCACACCUACCUCGUUACUUUACAGAAAUUCCACAUCAGCAGACUGGUGACAGAUGUCUCCUCAUCCUCAUCCUGAAGAAGGAAGUUGGCAUGUGGUGAGA